GGGAGGCAGCAGUGGGGAAUAUUGGACAAUGGGGGCAACCCUGAUCCAGCCAUGCCGCGUGUGUGAAGAAGGCCCUCGGGUUGUAAAGCACUUUCAGCGAGGAAGAACGCCUGUCGGUUAAUACCCGGCAGGAAAGACAUCACUCGCAGAAGAAGCACCGGCUAACUCCGUGCCAGCAGCCGCGGUAAUACGGAGGGUGCAAGCGUUAAUCGGAAUUACUGGGCGUAAAGCGCGCGUAGGUGGCUUGAUAAGCCGGUUGUGAAAGCCCCGGGCUCAACCUGGGAACGGCAUCCGGAACUAUGAGGCUAGAGUGCAGGAGAGGAAGGUAGAAUUCCCGGUGUAGCGGUGAAAUGCGUAGAGAUCGGGAGGAAUACCAGUGGCGAAGGCGGCCUUCUGGACUGACACUGACACUGAGGUGCGAAAGCGUGGGUAGCAAACAGGAUUAGAUACCCUGGUAGUCC
rnacentral:rRNA from 1 species